rnacentral:rRNA from 1 species
AACGAACGCUGGCGGCAGGCCUAAUACAUGCAAGUCGAACGAGUGGCGGACGGGUGGGCAAUGUAUGGAAAACUGCCCGACGGAGCGGGCUAACUACUGGAAACGGUGGCUAAUGGCGCAUAACAUCAGUUGUGCCCAGAUUGAAUUAGCUAGUCGGUGGGGUAAAGGCUCACCUAGGCGACGAUCCCUAGCUGGUCUGAGAGGAUGACCAGCCAAACUGGGACUGCGACACGGUCCAGACUCCUACGGGAGGCAGCAGUGGGGAAUAUUUCACAAUGGGCGCAAGCCUGAUUCAGCCAUGCCGCGUGAAUGAAGAAGGCCUUCGGAUUGUAAAGUACUUUCAGCGGGGAGGCGUUACCCGCAGAGAAAGCAACGGCUAACUCCGUGCCAGCAGCCGCGGUAAUAC